GACGAACGCUGGCGGCGUGCUUAACACAUGCAAGUCGAACGGAAAGGCCCUGCUUUUGUGGGGUGCUCGAGUGGCGAACGGGUGAGUAACACGUGAGUAACCUGCCCUUGACUUUGGGAUAACUUCAGGAAACUGGGGCUAAUACCGGAUAGGAGCUCCUGCUGCAUGGUGGGGGGUGGAAAGUUUCGGCGGUUGGGGAUGGACUCGCGGCUUAUCAGCUUGUUGGUCGGGUAGUGGCUUACCAAGUCGUUGACGGGUAGCCGGCCUGAGAGGGUGACGGGCCACACUGGGACUUAUAUGCGGCCCAGUCUCCAACGGGAGGCAGCAGUGAGGAAUAUUGCACAAUGGGCGGAAGCCUGAUGCAGUAACGCCGCGUGCGGGAUGACGGCCUUCCGGUUGUAAACCGCUUUCGUCUUUGACGAAGCGUGAUUGACGGUAAUGGGUAGAGAAGCACCGGCUAAGUACGUG
rnacentral:rRNA from 1 species